UCCGUGUCACUGUCACAUCCCUUUGGGUUCCACUUGGUGGAUCAGGGUCGCCACCGUGCGCCGCCCCAAAUUCUACUGUCAAAACGCGGACCAUAAUCGCAUCCAUAUCUGAUUCACAAACGCGGACGCGCUGUAAAAUCUAACGGACGUUGGUACAGUUUUUGUUGGGGCAGACACGACCGAACAGCGCUCUCCAUAAACAGGUGGAAUUACCUCUGGGUCGGACAGGGCUAGCCAGCUGUAAUCCACCCUGCUACGGUGAUGCCCGCCUGCCUCCCGGCUUUUACGACCAAGAAUCGGAGCGCUGAUGUGAUGUUUCCCCGUCGACUGAUGAGGGAAGGAAGAGAAUGCAGCCACGACACGCGAUUGUUCAACAUGACAGUGAGACAGAAAAAUAAUGUCAAGAUAAAUAAAAAAUCAUGAUGAGUGAAGUUCCUCGUCAGGUUGUGUUUUUUUCGGGAUCUUAUUUAAACGGUGUCUAGGCCAGGUCUGUGUUAUCUGUAGAAUUAAAUCUAAAUGCUGUUUGUAACGGUUAACUGGUUUAGUGUUCGUUUAUUGGGAUUAUAGCAUAAUAAGAAAGUAACUUUAUGAGCACGGAUCCAAAAUGGUCCCGGCCCGGAACAUCUAUGAGUCCGGAAUGGGUCCGUAACUGAUAAAAAGUAGUG